GUGCUCACAUUAGCAGAACAUAUACCCAGUUUGGAACAAUACAGAGAAGUUAGCAUGGCCUCUAUACAAGGAUGACAGGCGAAUUCAUGAAGCAUUCCAUAUUUUU